rnacentral:rRNA from 1 species
GUGGGGAAUAUUGGACAAUGGGGGGAACCCUGAUCCAGCCAUGCCGCGUGUGUGAAGAAGGCCUUUUGGUUGUAAAGCACUUUAAGUGAGGAGGAGGCUACCGAGAUUAAUACUCUUGGAUAGUGGACGUUACUCGCAGAAUAAGCACCGGCUAACUCUGUGCCAGCAGCCGCGGUAAUACAGAGGGUGCAAGCGUUAAUCGGAUUUACUGGGCGUAAAGCGCGCGUAGGUGGCCAAUUAAGUCAAAUGUGAAAUCCCCGAGCUUAACUUGGGAAUUGCAUUCGAUACUGGUUGGCUAGAGUAUGGGAGAGGAUGGUAGAAUUCCAGGUGUAGCGGUGAAAUGCGUAGAGAUCUGGAGGAAUACCGAUGGCGAAGGCAGCCAUCUGGCCUAAUACUGACGCUGAGGUACGAAAGCAUGGGGAGCAAACAGGAUUAGAUACCCCAGUAGUCC